CGCUGGCGGCAGGCCUAACACAUGCAAGUCGAGCGGUAGAGAGAAGCUUGCUUCUCUUGAGAGCGGCGGACGGGUGAGUAAUGCCUAGGAAUCUGCCUGGUAGUGGGGGAUAACGUUCGGAAACGGACGCUAAUACCGCAUACGUCCUACGGGAGAAAGCAGGGGACCUUCGGGCCUUGCGCUAUCAGAUGAGCCUAGGUCGGAUUAGCUAGUUGGUGAGGUAAUGGCUCACCAAGGCGACGAUCCGUAACUGGUCUGAGAGGAUGAUCAGUCACACUGGAACUGAGACACGGUCCAGACUCCUACGGGAGGCAGCAGUGGGGAAUAUUGGACAAUGGGCGAAAGCCUGAUCCAGCCAUGCCGCGUGUGUGAAGAAGGUCUUCGGAUUGUAAAGCACUUUAAGUUGGGAGGAAGGGUUGUAGAUUAAUACUCUGCAAUUUUGACGUUACCGACAGAAUAAGCACCGGCUAACUCUGUGCCAGCAGCCGCGGUAAUACAGAGGGUGCAAGCGUUAAUCGGAAUUACUGGGCGUAAAGCGCGCGUAGGUGGUUUGUUAAGUUGGAUGUGAAAUCCCCGGGCUCAACCUGGGAACUGCAUUCAAAACUGACUGACUAGAGUAUGGUAGAGGGUGGUGGAAUUUCCUGUGUAGCGGUGAAAUGCGUAGAUAUAGGAAGGAACACCAGUGGCGAAGGCGACCACCUGGACUAAUACUGACACUGAGGUGCGAAAGCGUGGGGA
rnacentral:rRNA from 1 species